GGUACAUCACAGUACCAUGUUGCUGACAGCAGGAUGCUUAAACCGUGUCAAUUCAUUGGAGGAAAAGCACUCCAUAGUGAAUGAGUACCUCAAGUGGUACAUAAUUGAAAGGAAUCACAGCGCAAUCGAAAGAUUCAAGAAUGGACUUGCUACUUUCCAGUUUUUAACAGCUCUGCGGCAAUAUCCUAUGGCGCUGACUCCUGUCUUGUGCCAUUCUGAGAGAAAGUUAUCUGCUGGGGACAUUGAAAAUCUCUUCCGACCAGAGCUUAGUCCAGAUGGCAGCAACCGGAGAGCCCAGGAGAACAAAACAACAAGUUUCUGGGCCGACUACCGUCUUGACUGUGAAGAAAAUAACAGUGAGGUGACCCUGGAGGAUGUACUUAUGUUUGCAACAGGUGUGCCAUCUAUUCCUCCUGCUGGUAUGGACCCUCAGCCACAUCUUGAAUAUAUUUACACCUCAAAAUUCCCCAUGGCAAAUACAUGUGCCAACACUUUAAAGCUGCCCCUCUUGGACAGCUACAUUACAUUUAAGCACAACUUGAACUUUGGGAUUAAGAAUUCCCCUGGCUUUGGAUGCCUUUAGUCAAUAUGCAGCUGUUGUUAUUUUGGGCAAGAUCUGUAAAAGUUUUGGAUUCUAGUUGUGUGGGUUCUAUGUGUGUGUGUAUAUACAUAUAUUAGUUCUACUGCAUUAGCUUGUUCCCAAAUUUCUAUGUUUUGUUGUGUAGUUUGGUCUGAAAGACAACACAAUGUUACAAUCAUAUUGUUGAAACCAA